GAACUCUAGAGAGCACCUCCUCU
rnacentral:snRNA from 1 species